AUGGAUAUGAUUCAUGUUUUUCUCAUUGUUCUUUUUGGUCCCGUAGGAGCUUUAUCUUCUAGUCAUAACUUGACCAGUGGGACAGUGUUGGAGAUGAUGGUCAGACCAGGAGAAAACAUAACUCUCUACUGUGACUGUAAAACUUCAACUGGAGAAUUCAUAGUGUGGUACAGGAAUUGCUCUCACGAGAAACAACCUUCUCUUAUUCUAAAAACAAAGCUUGAGCAAAGACAAUAUAAACCAGGUAUUGAUUACCAAAACCUUCUGAAUCCAUUCCCUAAUUUCCAUCUUGUGAAAAAUUAUUCCUCUCAAUCCUAUGACCUGCUGAUCACAAACAUCACUGAUUCGGAUGAGGGCUUCUACUACUGUGGAACUGAACAGUCUAAGGUGAAGGAAGAAAAAGCAAUUAAUCUUGAAUGCCUAUAUAGAUAUGGAAAACUCACCACAAGGAUUGUGUUUCAAUCCCCUGAUUCUACUCUUUGCCAUGACUCCUGUGUUUCCAGUAUUGUGUCCAGGAUGAUGGUGCUUACUCCAGCAUUUUCUAUUUUUGUUUCCUUUGUCUCCUUUGUAUUUGUUUAUCAACUGUGUCAGAAAACAGAUGCAGAAAAAGGACGUGAAAUUCAUCAGAAAAGAAAAAGACAGUAUGAAGAUGAAGACUUGUGUUUAACACAAGUCAUGUUCCAGGCUCAGGAUGGAUAUAGACAUCAAUAGACAGAUUCAUGAUGAAGAAAACCUAGGAAGUUUACCAAAUUUUCACAGAAAAAUAAAAUCCCAGUGAAUUACAUAACAAUAGUUGUCACUUGCCAGGCUUGUCUUUUUGCAGUUCAUUGUUUUAGCUUUUAUCUCCCUUGCUUUGUUGCUUUUCCUUUCAAUGAAUUGUACAGUAUUAAAAAAUAGUUAAAGUUGUAGUUGUAAAUGUUCACACAUCUAAAAACUAUAUAAAAUAUAGUCUAUUGUUUAUCGUUUACUCUUGCAUAUUGAUUGUAAUGGACUGCAAUACUUAUAUUGCAAAAAAAAGCUUUACAAAUAAAAGAAAAAUGUCUGCCUGUCACUUAAGUAUUUUUCUUUUCAAAGUAUGUAUUGAUGAAAUGUCAUUACAAAAUAAAUUUUCUUUAUCGUC
rnacentral:lncRNA from 1 species